rnacentral:rRNA from 1 species
UACGGGGGGGGCAAGCGUUGUUCGGAAUUACUGGGCGUAAAGGGCUCGUAGGCGGCCAACUAAGUCAGACGUGAAAUCCCUCGGCUUAACCGGGGAACUGCAUCUGAUACUGGAUGGCUUGAGAUUGGGAGAGGGAUGCGGAAUUCCAGGUGUAGCGGUGAAAUGCGUAGAUAUCGAGAGGAACACCUGCGGCGAAGGCGGGUUGCUGGGCUGACACUGACGCUGAACUGCGAAAGCUAGGGGAGCGAACGGG